GACGAACGCUGGCGGCGUGCUUAACACAUGCAAGUCGAACGGUGCAGGGGUCUGCUUUUGUGGGCCCUGGCUGAGUGGCGGACGGGUGAGUAACACGUGCGUAACCUGCCCCCUUCUUCUGGAUUACCGCAUGAAAGUGUGGCUAAUACGAGAUAUUCUGGGUCUGUCGCAUGAUGGGUCUGGGAAAGAUUGCGCCUUUGGGUGUUUUUGGUGGGGGAUGGGCUCGCGGCCUAUCAGCUUGUUGGUGGGGUGAUGGCCUACCAAGGCGGUGACGGGUAGCCGGCCUGAGAGGGUGGACGGUCACACUGGGACUGAGACACGGCCCAGACUCCUACGGGAGGCAGCAGUGGGGAAUAUUGCACAAUGGGCGCAAGCCUGAUGCAGCGACGCCGCGUGAGGGAUGGAGGCCUUCGGGUUGUAAACCUCUUUCGCCAGUGAAGCAGGCCUGCUCCUUGUGGGUGGGUUGACGGUAGCUGGAGAAGAAGCGCCGGCUAACUACGUG
rnacentral:rRNA from 1 species